UACGAAGGGGGGCGAGCGUUGUUCGGAUUUACUGGGCGUAAAGGGCGCGCAGGCGGUCAUUUUUUGUCGAGUGUGAAAGCCCCGGGCUUAACCUGGGAACUGCGCUCGAAACGGGAUGACUAGAGAUCGGGAGAGGAGAGUGGAAUUCCCAGUGUAGAGGUGAAAUUCGUAGAUAUUGGGAAGAACACCGGUGGCGAAGGCGGUUUUCUAGCUUACUCCUGACGCUGAGGCGCGAAAGUUAGGGGAUCAAACAGG
rnacentral:rRNA from 1 species